rnacentral:snRNA from 1 species
GGAUGUGAGGGCGAUCUGGCUGCGACAUCUGUCACCCCAUUGAUCGCCAGGGUUGAUUCGGCUGAUCUGGCUGGGUAAGAGGGGGUGCCC